UUAGUUGCAUCAUAGGAAAAUAUAAUGAACAGUAUGAGCUCUGCAUCCACAGUGAGAGACUCAAUGCGUUUCAUUUUCCCAAAUAUUCAUUAUUUUGCAUCGAUUUCAUGUCACAAACUACUUUGGAGCGUAAGUAAACUGAUGACGCCAGAGAUUAGAUAACAAAGAAGAGUGUUCCAAUGAAGAAAAUGAAGUGCGGCAUCAUUUCACCUGGAUCGGAGCAGGCAAGAUUAUUUCGGGCAGCAUAUUUUUGAUGUUUAAAAUACGAAAGGAACGAGUAGCGACAAGAAUAGCUUAGAAUCAUCAUCGUAAGCUGUUCGUUGCAGAAGCCUGAAAAAGUAUUUCUUUGCCCUUUCCAAGCGGUCCUUUAUCCUGCGCCCGAGACUCAAGUCCAAAGGAGUUUCACGAUCCGUCUCUGGAACUGGAAGUGGCCCAGGGCCGAACGGUUACCUUGGCGAGCGACGGUUCAUCGUUACACGCAGCUUCCUCCAGCCAUGAAACGUAAUUCGAUCGUUCCACGGAAUUUCUCCGUUCAGGUGGAAUCUCUCAGCGAUGCUCCCGUAUUACCCCACACGGGGGUGGUUAAAAUAAGGGA